AAGUCGUAACAAGGUUUCCGUAGGUGAACCUGCGGAAGGAUCAUUACCGAGUUCAUGCCCUAUAAACGGGUAGAUCUCCCACCCUUUGUAUACCUUUACCUUUGUUGCUUUGGCGGGCCGCCUAGCUACUGGCUUCGGCUGGUAAGUGCCCGCCAGAGAACCCAAAACCCUGAAUUAUUAGUGUCGUCUGAGUAAAAUAUUUAAUAUUUAAAACUUUCAACAACGGAUCUCUUGGCUCUG
rnacentral:misc_RNA from 1 species